rfam:Triticum urartu cultivar G1812 contig1051818, whole genome shotgun sequence.
GAUAUACUCCCUCCGUCCGGAAAUACUCGUCGGAGGAAUGGAUGUAUCUAGACAUAUUUUAGUUCUAGUUGCAUCCGUUUUAUCCAUUUCUCUGACAAGUAUUUCCGGGCGAAGGUAGUAUAAG